rnacentral:rRNA from 1 species
AUUGAACGCUGGCGGCAGGCUUAACACAUGCAAGUCGAGCGAGCGGCGGACGGGUGAGUAAUGUCUGGGAAACUGCCUGAUGGAGGGGGUUAACUACUGGAAACGGUAGCUAAUACCGCAUACCAUUAGAUGUGCCCAGAUGGGAUUGGCUCGUAGGUGGGGUAAUGGCUCACCUGGGAGACGAUCCCUAGCUGGUCUGAGAGGAUGACCUACCACAAUGGAACGGCGCAACGGGCCAGACACCUACGAGAGGCAGCAGAGGGGAAUAGUACCCACUGGGGGCAAACCUGGUGCAGCCAUGCCGCGUAUGUGAAGAAGGCCUUCGGGUUGUAAAGCACUUUCAGCGAGAAGGCGUUACUCGCAGAAGAAGCACCGGCUAACUCCGUGCCAGCAGACGCGGUAAUUC